GACGAACGCUGGCGGCGUGCUUAACACAUGCAAGUCGAACGGAAAGGCCCUGCUUUUGUGGGGUGCUCGAGUGGCGAACGGGUGAGUAACACGUGAGUAACCUGCCCUUGACUUUGGGAUAACUUCAGGAAACUGGGGCUAAUACCGGAUAGGAGCUCCUGCUGCAUGGUGGGGGUUGGAAAGUUUCGGCGGUUGGGGAUGGACUCGCGGCUUAUCCGCUGGUUGGUGGGGUAGUGGCUUACAAAGGCUUUGACGGGUAGCCGGCCUGAGAGGGUGACCGGCCACAUUGGGACUAAGAUACGGACCAGACUCCUACGGGAGGCAGCAGGGGGGAAUAUUGCACAAUGGGCGGAAGCCUGAUACAACAACGCCGCGUGCGGGAUGACGGCUUUCGGGUUGUAAACCGCUUUCUACUGAGACGAAGCGUGAGUGACGGUAAUGGGUAAAGAAGCACCGGCUAACUACGUG
rnacentral:rRNA from 1 species